GAUGAAGAACGCAGCGAAAUGCGAUACGUAAUGUGAAUUGCAGAAUUCAGUGAAUCAUCGAGUCUUUGAACGCACAUUGCGCCCUCUGGUAUUCCGGGGGGCAUGCCUGUUCGAGCGUCAUUAUAACCACUCAAGCUCUCGCUUGGUAUUGGGGUUCGCGGUUCCGCGGCCCCUAAAAUCAGUGGCGGUGCCUGUCGGCUCUACGCGUAGUAAUACUCCUCGCGAUUGAGUCCGGUAGGUCUACUUGCCAGCAACCCCCAAUUUUUACAGGUUGACCUCGGAUCAGGUAGGGAUACCCGCUGAACUUAAGCAUAUCAAUAAGCGGAGGA
rnacentral:misc_RNA from 1 species